rnacentral:lncRNA from 1 species
AGUGCCCACGGGUCGGGUCAGUGGGGCUCCUGGGAAGGGGCCCUAGCUCGUGGGGUCCUCACAGGACUCGAGGAUUCAGUUGUCACCUCCAGGACACUUGGCCAGCUCCACCCGGUGGGCAGCACCAAGUCAGAGGCCCACCUGCUUUCUGUCCCCCACCUGCCGCUGUCCCACCCCCCCUGCCCAUGCUGGGCCUGGGUCGCCCGCCCUACCCCCUCCCUGAACAGGGGCUGAGUGUGUGCGCUGGCGCAGAGCCACACGCGUGUGCGGGCCUGCACGCGUGUUCCCGGAGGGUCUCCACACGGGGGCGGCCCCUCCUCACCCUCAGGCCCUGCGCUGUCCCUGGCAGUGUCCAGCGAUCCUGACUGGGGUGGGGAGGAGGAGUGUUGACUCCCGGGGGCACUGUGUCCCUGUCAAGUCUCCGUCCACUCCAGGCCUUCUCUCAACUGGACACGAGGUGCAGCACUCAGGGGGGCGGGGCUCUGCUGUCCACCCUGAAUUUACCUUCAGCUGGCUCCUGGGGUCCGGAGGAAGCACCGAGCUGGACAGGUGGUGGCCUGUCUUGGUGCUGCCCAGGGUGUCUCAGCUGUGUCCUCCCUCGGGUGGGCACCUGCCCAGUGGCACAGGACUGGCUGCCCAGGUGCGCUCAGCAUAGAGAAGGUGCAAGUCCAGGGUGGAUGGGUGUCACUGACACUCGGGAGCUUGGCUCCUCGCCAGCCAUGAUCAGGAGUCAGUGCUGUCCCAGCGUCAGAACGUCCCUCCUGUCACCUUUGCUUCAGAGCAGCCUGAACGACUGCUGUCCCGGGACUCCAGAGCUAGAGGCCACGUUAGUGUCCUGGGGCCAACUGUGGGGACAAAGUGCUGCGCACUGAUGGCUCGAGGUGACAAGCGGUUCCCUCACCACGCUGGAGGCCCGGAGUCUGAGCCGCAGGCGCUCAGGACUGUCCUGGCUGGCAGCUCCGAGGUCCCUGCACUGGGGGACGUCACUCACUCCAUCUCUGCCUUUGAGUCAUGUGGCAUCUCUGUGUGUCCUACUUCCUCCCUUCUCUCCGUCGAGGACAGUUAUGGUGACAUUUGGGUCCCACCAGGUCAUCAGUGACCUCCUAUUCUCAGGAACCUCAGGUGGUCACAUCUUCCAAGACUUUUCCCAAGCAAUGUCCCCUGACAGGUUCCCGGGAUGGACAUGCAAUAGGGGGAUACUGCAGGCCGAGGCCAAGGACCCCUCUCCUCGGCGGCCCGCUGGGGCCACAGCUGCAGGCCCUGUGCAGAGAGGUGCGUGGGAGGGCUGCUACGGCCUGUGUGAGCCACAUGGGGUGGGCUGCCGGAGGUCAUGGGCAUGGGCGGGUCAGCACCGCUGCCCACUAGGGCUCAGAUGCCCUUUAGCCUCCCAGCCACGUGGGGGAGUGGCCAGCUGAGGUUCAGGAAGGACGGUGCCCAGGUGCCCAGGGCUGCCGCAGGCUGGCCCCGACCUCCGGUCACUGGAGGCCCUGCCGACCCUCAGGUCCCGCUGCACAUGCUGCACCGCGGGAGCGUGGUUUUGCAAUCCC